UCAGCUCCUCAAUAUAAUGGAUCUAAAACGGUUAACCAACCAGUUUUGACUCAAACUGGGCUGUUAUCAAAUGUUAUUGAUUAUGCAGAAGCAACAGUGUUGACAUUUUCAUCAAGUAUUACACGGGAUCCAACUGUAGGUUUCUCACGCUCACAGGAAUAACCUCGAGAUGGACAAUGACCAGAUUGGGCUAAAGAGU